rnacentral:rRNA from 1 species
ACGUUAUGGUGGGCGACUCUAAGGAGACUGCCGGUGACAAACCGGAGGAAGGUGGGGAGUGACGUCAAGUCAUCAUGGCCCUUACGGCCUGGGCUACACACGUGCUACAAUGGUCGGUACAAAGGGUUGCCAAGCCGCGAGGUGGAGCUAAUCCCAUAAAACCGAUCGUAGUCCGGAUCGCAGUCUGCAACUCGACUGCGUGAAGUCGGAAUCGCUAGUAAUCGUGAAUCAGAAUGUCACGGUGAAUACGUUCCCGGGCCUU